rnacentral:rRNA from 1 species
AAUCAACGCUGGCGGCGUGCCUAACACAUGCAAGUCGAACGCGAAAGUGGAGCAAUCCAUGAGUAGAGUGGCAAACGGGUGAGUAACGCGUGGGCGACCUACCUCUGAGUGGGGGAUAACCUUCCGAAGGAGGGCUAAUACCGCAUGACAUCCCGUGUUUAGAUACACGGACAUCAAAGCCGGGGAUCGCAAGACCUGGCGCUUGGAGAGGGGCCCGCGUCCGAUUAGCUAGUUGGUGGGGUAACGGCUCACCAAGGCUCCGAUCGGCAUCCGGCCUGAGAGGGCGGACGGACACACUGGGACUGAGACACGGCCCAGACUCCUACGGGAGGCAGCAGUGGGGAAUUGUUCGCAAUGGGCGCAAGCCUGACGACGCAACGCCGCGUGGAGGAUGAAGAC